GGUUUAGACUCUUCCUGUCUCACAGUUUCCAACGUGUAAUCAUUCCAUGUGGCUCGGCGACUGCUUUUAAACAUGAACCCGCCGUAAUCCCGUGCCUUCUUGCUAGUUUGAUGUCCAUUUGCCUGUGCGGCUGGACUUGUGGUCGAAACGACAAUAUUAAGGAACCGAGGCUUCAGGCAGACGGCUAGUUGGCCUUGGCGUGCGGUGGUGGGACUCUAUCACAGGGUGCAGUGUGUUCACGCUGAUCUUACCGUGUGUGUGGUGCUCUUGUGCAUUUGGUGUUAUGCUCCUGGCGAUAUAGUAGCCGCAUACUCAUUAAGCUAGUUUCCUGCUUUAGGUAAGCCUCGGUGUCCUUUUUGUUUUUAUGCCUAUUUUAUUCCAGCCCAUAGUCAUGUUUUAACAGUAAUACCCAUAUUUAUUGUGAAAUAAAACAUUUUUUUGUAUCUUUGGUA